GCCUUCGUGGUGUAACGGUAGCAUAUGCGGCGCAUUCAAGAGGUCCAGGUUCGAAUCCUGGCGAGAGCA
rnacentral:tRNA from 1 species